GAUGAACGCUGGCGGCGUGCCUAAUACAUGCAAGUCGAGCGAACGGACGAGAAGCUUGCUUCUCUGAUGUUAGCGGCGGACGGGUGAGUAACACGUGGAUAACCUACCUAUAAGACUGGGAUAACUUCGGGAAACCGGAGCUAAUACCGGAUAAUAUUUUGAACCGCAUGGUUCAAAAGUAAAAGACGGUCUUGCUGUCACUUAUAGAUGGAUCCGCGCUGCAUUAGCUAGUUGGUAAGGUAACGGCUUACCAAGGCAACGAUGCAUAGCCGACCUGAGAGGGUGAUCGGCCACACUGGAACUGAGACACGGUCCAGACUCCUACGGGAGGCAGAAGUAGGGAAUCUUCCGCAAUGGGCGAAAGCCUGACGGAGCAACGCCGCGUGAGUGAUGAAGGUCUUCGGAUCGUAAAACUCUGUUAUUAGGGAAGAACAUAUGUGUAAGUAACUGUGCACAUCUUGACGGUACCUAAUCAGAAAGCCACGGCUAACUACGU
rnacentral:rRNA from 1 species